GAUGAACGCUAGCUACAGGCUUAACACAUGCAAGUCGAGGGGAAACGGCAUUUAGUGCUUGCACUGAAUGGACGUCGACCGGCGCACGGGUGAGUAACGCGUAUCCAACCUUCCCAUUACUGUGGGAUAACCUGCCGAAAGGCAGACUAAUACCGCAUAGUCUUCGAUGACGGCAUCAGAUUUGAAGUAAAGAUUUAUCGGUAAUGGAUGGGGAUGCGUCUGAUUAGCUUGUUGGCGGGGUAACGGCCCACCAAGGCAACGAUCAGUAGGGGUUCUGAGAGGAAGGUCCCCCACAUUGGAACUGAGACACGGUCCAAACUCCUACGGGAGGCAGCAGUGAGGAAUAUUGGUCAAUGGACGAGAGUCUGAACCAGCUAAGUAGCGUGCAGGAUGACGGCCCUAUGGGUUGUAAACUGCUUUUGUAUGGGGAUAAAGUCAAUCACGUGUGAUUGUUUGCAGGUACCAUACGAAUAAGGACCGGCUAAUUCCGUGCCAGCAGCCGCGGUAAUACGGAAGGUCCGGGCGUUAUCCGGAUUUAUUGGGUUUAAAGGGAGCGUAGGCCGGAGAUUAAGUGUGUUGUGAAAUGUAGACGCUCAACGUCUGACUUGCAGCGCAUACUGGUUUCCUUGAGUACGCACAACGUUGGCGGAAUUCGUCGUGUAGCGGUGAAAUGCUUAGAUAUGACGAAGAACUCCGAUUGCGAAGGCAGCUGACGGGAGCGCAACUGACGCUUAAGCUCGAAGGUGCGGGUAUCGAACAGG
rnacentral:rRNA from 1 species